rnacentral:misc_RNA from 1 species
AAUCCGAGAAUUUCACCUCUGACCAUGAAAUACGAAUGCCCCCGACUGUCCCUCUUAAUCAUUACUCCGGUCCCACAGACCAACACGAUGGGCCAGAGUCCUAUCGUGUUAUCCCAUGCUAUCGUAUUCACAGCGAUCGCCUGCUUUGAACACUCUAAUUUACUCAAAGUAACCUCGGUGACUCCGACUCCCGAGGAACGAACCCCAGAACGCCGUCACCACCAGAAAAGAGGCCGCGCCAGUACUCAGCAAUGCCGGACCGGCGUUACCCUCCCGAAAUCCAACUACGAGCUUUUUAACUGCAACAACUUAAAUAUACGCUAUUGGAGCUGGAAUUACCGC